CUGUCUCUACUGACAAUAGGCAUUUUUGCUUACUAUUGACAGUUUGCAUAUGUGUUUCCACAUGUGCUUUCCUGAUUUUUCAGAUUAAUUCUAUUAAUGGCUUAAAAUCCUGCUGUGGUUCUCCUGAACUAUUCUGAUUUCCCUGACGACUCUGGUUCCUUCCUGUAUGGUCUGCUGUCUUUUGCUGUUUUACCUUUUUGCAUUGUAUGUCUGAAAGCUCCUGAAGAAAC